rnacentral:rRNA from 1 species
UACAUAGGGGUCAAGCGUUGUCCGGAUUUAUUGGGCGUAAAGAGUAUGUAGGCGGUCAAGUAAGUCAGGCGUGUAAGCCCUCGGCUCAACCGAGGAAUUGCGUUUGAAACUGCUCGACUUGAGUACGAAAGAGGAAAGCGGAAUUCCCAGUGUAGCGGUGAAAUGCAUUGAUAUUGGGAAGAACAUCGGUGGUGAAGGCGGCUUUCUGGUUCGAUACUGACGCUGAGAUACGAAAGCUAGGGGAGCAAACAGG